UACGGAGGGUGCAAGCGUUAUCCGGAUUCACUGGGUUUAAAGGGUGCGUAGGCGGGCAUGUAAGUCCGUGGUGAAAUCUCCGAGCUUAACUCGGAAACUGCCAUGGAUACUAUGUGUCUUGAAUGUUGUGGAGGUGAGCGGAAUAUGUCAUGUAGCGGUGAAAUGCUUAGAUAUGACAUAGAACACCAAUUGCGAAGGCAGCUCACUACGCAAAUAUUGACGCUGAGGCACGAAAGCGUGGGGAUCAAACAGG
rnacentral:rRNA from 1 species